GACAGAGGUGCCGAGCGUUAGGCGGAAUCACUGGGCUUAAAGCGUGUGUAGGCGGGCCGUUAAGUAUCUUGUGAAAUCCCCCGGCUCAACCGGGGAAUGGCUGGAUAUACUGGCGGUCUUGAGCAGUUCAGGGGCAGAUGGAACAGACGGUGGAGCGGUGAGAUGCGUAGAUAUCGUCUGGAACGCCAAAGGUGAAGACAGUCUGCUGGGAACUUGCUGACGCUGAGACACGAAAGCCAGGGGAGCGAACGGG
rnacentral:rRNA from 1 species